rnacentral:lncRNA from 1 species
AUGGCGGCGGGGCUGCGGGAGCCGAGCCCAGGUGGAGUAACGCGGCUCCGGCAUCUCCCCCCGGGCCGCCGCGACGGGCCCCCGGCCGGUGCUUCCCGCCGGUGCUUCCCGCCGCCCCCGCCGCGGGGCUGUGGUGCCGAGGGGUGCGACGGGUGCGGGCUGAGGCGCCCUCCGCGCUCCUCGGCGCUGGGGCGCGUUCCGGGGUCCCUCGCAGGUGCGGGAGCGGUUCCUGGGGCCGCUCCUGAGGGCGGCCGCCCCGGGCUGUGCCGGACUGUGUCCGGGCUGUGCCCCUGCUGUGUCCGGGCUGUGCCGGGCUGUGCUCGUGCUGUGUCCGGGCUUUGCCCGCGCUGUGCCGGGCUGUGCCCCUGCUGUGUCCGGGCUUUGCCCGCGCUGUGCCGGGCUGUGCCCCUGCUGUGUCCGGGCUGUACCGGGCUGUGCCGGACUGUGUCCGGGCUGUGUCCGGGCUGUGCCCCUGCUGUGUCCGGGCUGUACCGGGCUGUGCCGGACUGUGCCCGGGCUGUGCCCCUGCUGUGUCCGGGCUGCACCGGGCUGUGCUCGUGCUGUGCCCGUGCUGUGCCGGGCUGUGCCCGUGCUGUGUCCGGGCUGUGCCUGUGCUGUGUUCGGGCUGUGCCGGGCUGUGCUCGUGCUGUGUCCGGGCUGUGUCCGGGCUGUGCCUGUGCUGUGCCCGGGCUGUGUCCGGGCUGUGCUCGUGCUGUGCCCGUGCUGUGUCCGGGCUGUGCUCGUGCUGUGCCCGUGCUGUGUCCGGACUGUGCCGGGCUGUGCCCCGUGUGCCGCCCGGGGUCGCUGGAGCGGUGGUCUCUGCUCGGAGUCAUUCGGGUUGUGUUUCUCUGCACGUCAAGCGGCACACCCACAAUAAACUGCCUACUAGAAGUAAUAAACCCAACGCGCCGUGGACUUAAAAAGAAGCUGCAAUUGAGUUUGGUGUUCUGGGAGAAGGCUGCUUGUGUGAGGACAUGCUGUGUGCUUGCGCUGUUUAUAAAUUUUUUCCCCCACCUUUUUGACAGUUGUUCGUGGCCUCUGGGAACAGCCGGGGUUUCCCUGAGUGGUGACUCGGUGUUGGAGCGGGCGGGUGCUGGGUGUUUGCAGUUUCGUGAGGCUCUGAAAUCUCAUCUAUUUCUGAAGCAUACUUCACAGACCUAG